rnacentral:misc_RNA from 1 species
UUAUUAGAUUAUAAUAAGACUACGUUUGUUACUUUAAUGUUUGUAUAAAAUGGGCAGGCGCUCUAAUCACUUUCGUUUUCAAGACAGCCUUACAGUUCACAGGUGUUAUGGAUAUGAUUUGAUGCUAGGGACUCCGAAGAGGUCCGCUAACAUAUUCAAUUCACUAAUGAUCCUUCCGCAGGUUCACCUACGGAAA